GACGAACCGUGCAAACGUUAUUCGGAAUCACUGGGCUUAAAGGGCGCGUAGGCGGGCCGCCCGGUCCGGGGUGAAAUCCUCCAGCUCAACUGGAGAAGUGCCUUGGAUACCGGCGGUCUCGAGGGAGGCAGGGGCGUGCGGAACUUCGGGUGGAGCGGUGAAAUGCGUAGAUAUCCGAAGGAACACCGGUGGCGAAAGCGGCGCGCUGGACCUCUUCUGACGCUGAGGCGCGAAAGCCAGGGGAGCAAACGGG
rnacentral:rRNA from 1 species